UAUUUAUUUAUUUAUUUAUUUAGUUAUAUUUAUUAUUUUUAUUUAAAAAUUUUUUUUUUUUUUUUCGCAUUUAUUACACUUGUCGCGCGCGCCUCGCAACGAUUGUCUUGUUCUUCUCCAUUGUCUGUUGCUCUGCUUGCUUGUUAUUUAAUUCUUGGCAGGCUUCCUUGCGAUGUUGCCUCCUUCUUGGCUUGAUUUGUCGUCGUUUUUUCCGACAAUUUGUUGCUUUUUGGCCUUUCCAAAUGGUAUAAGCCCAUGCGCCUGGUGGUGGUGGUGGUGGUAGUGGUAGCAGCAGCAACAAGCUAUAGCCUCAGCCAGCCAACGCGCGCCAGCAAGCAAUAGAUAUAAUUGCGGAAAUUGUUUACAAUUUGUUGAUGAUUGCAAAUUACUUUUGCUGCCUUUGCCAUGCCAAGCAGCAGUUAACAAAAAAAAAAACAAAAAAACACAUAUCAACAACAAUACAGCAACAACUAAAACAACAGCAUACUAACCAUAAAAUAACUGCUACAGAUUUAUUAUAGUUUCUAUACAAACUCACAGAUGGAAUAAGGAAUUCAACAACCAACAACAAAAACACAAUUUAUACAUUCGUACACACUUGUACACACUUGUAGCACACAUCUUUAUCUUUACGGCACUUUAUGCUAUUCCUUCACUUCAUUGAAUGCAUAAAGUUAAGCUACUGUGCAUUUGUGUAUGUGUGUGUGUGUGUGUUAGUGUAUGCUUGCGAGGCGGCCACGUCGGCAAUAUAUAUUGCAAGAAAUGAAAUCAAAUUACAAUUUUAUACUGAUUCUAUUUAUUAUUGGGAUUAUACCGAGAUACUCUCCAAUGCCAACAAUUAAAUUAAGGUUAUUUUGUAUAACGACUAAUUAAGACCCUCGAGAAUUUGUUUAUGAAUAAUCUCUGAUUUGAAACGUUCAUCAUCAUUCAUACAUAAUCAGGCAAAUAACAAAAAAGCGAAAAGAGAAAAAGGAAAAUAUUACAAAUCAUGAUAUCAUCAGCAAUGUCAUCAGUGCCGUCAUAAUGAAUUAAUUCUUUAUGCAGUGCAUCGAUACAAUAAACGUAUUAAAUGAAUGGCAGUUAUCAACACUUCCAUAAGCACCGAUAGACCCUCUAGCCAAACGUAAAGGACAGACAGCUUACUAUGAAUGAAAUUUUAUUUUUUAUUUUUCUCUUUGUUCUUCCCUGUAAAGAAUAUUUCGCUUUAUUACUAGAGAUUAAAACAAAAAAAAAAAAAAAAAAA